GUCGCUGAUGGUGUAGGGGUUAAGCACGCGACCAUUUGCAGAGGCUACAGUCCUUGAAGCAGCUGAUGCUGGGUUCGAGUCCCAGACCCGGCGACA